GAUGAACGCUAGCUACAGGCUUAACACAUGCAAGUCGAGGGGCAGCGCAGUGUAGCAAUACAUGGGCGGCGACCGGCGCACGGGUGCGUAACGCGUAUCCAACCUUCCCGUUACUCAGGGAUAGCCUUCCGAAAGGGAGAUUAAUACCUGAUGGUGUUGAAAUUCCGCAUGUUAUUUCAACUAAAGAUUUAUCGGUAACGGAUGGGGAUGCGUGACAUUAGGUAGAUGGCGGGGUAACGGCCCACCAUGCCUACGAUGUCUAGGGGUUCUGAGAGGAAGGUCCCCCACACUGGAACUGAGACACGGUCCAGACUCCUACGGGAGGCAGCAGUGAGGAAUAUUGGUCAAUGGCCGGAAGGCUGAACCAGCCAAGUAGCGUGAAGGAUGAAGGUUCUAUGGAUUGUAAACUUCUUUUAUACGGGAAUAAAACCUCCCACGUGUGGGAGCUUGUAUGUACCGUAUGAAUAAGCAUCGGCUAACUCCGUGCCAGCAGCCGCCGUAAUAC
rnacentral:rRNA from 1 species